rnacentral:piRNA from 1 species
UCUGAAGACUUCUCAGAUGGAUCCUAGUC